rnacentral:rRNA from 1 species
UACGUAGGGGGCAAGCGUUGUCCGGAUUUAUUGGGCGUAAAGAGCGUGUAGGCGGCUAGAUAGGUCCGUUGUGAAAACUCGAGGCUCAACCUCGAAACGUCGAUGGAAACCAUCUGGCUAGAGUCCGGAAGAGGAGAGUGGAACUGCGAGUGUAGAGGUGAAAUUCGUAGAUAUUCGCAAGAACACCAGUGGCGAAGGCGGCUCACUGGCCCGGUACUGACGCUGAGGCACGAAAGCGUGGGGAGCGAACAGG